rnacentral:rRNA from 1 species
UACGGAGGGGGUUAGCGUUGUUCGGAAUGACUGGGCGUAAAGCGCGCGUAGGCGGAUCGGAAAGUCGGGGGUGAAAUCCCGGGGCUCAACCCCGGAAUGGCCUUCGAGACUCCCGGUCUUGAGUUCGAGAGAGGUGAGUGGAAUUCCGAGUGUAGAGGUGAAAUUCGUAGAUAUUCGGAGGAACACCAGUGGCGAAGGCGGCUCACUGGCCCGGGUACUGACGCUGAGAUGCGAAAGCGUGGGGAGCAAACAGG